GACGAACGCUGGCGGCGUGCCUAAUACAUGCAAGUCGAACGCUUCUUUCCUCCCUAGUGCUUGCACUCAAUUGGAAAGAGGAGUGGCGGACGGGUGAGUAACACGUGGGUAACCUACCCAUCAGAGGGGGAUGACACUUGGAAACAGGUGCUAAUACCGCAUAACAGUUUAUGCCGCAUGGCAUAAGAGUGAAAGGCGCUGUCGGGUGUCGCUGAGGGCUGGACCCGCGGGGCAUUAGAUAGUUGGUGAGGUAACGGCUCACCAAGGCCACGAGGCAUAGCCGACCUGAGAGGGUGAUCGGCCACACUGGGACUGAGACACGGCCCAGACUCCUACGGGAGGCAGCAGUAGGGAAUCUUCGGCAAUGGUCGAAAGUCUGACCGAGCAACGCCGCGUGAGUGAAGAAGGUUUUCGGAUCGUAAAACUCUGUUGUUAGAGAAGAACAAGGACGUUAGUAACUGAACGUCCCCUGACGGUAUCUAACCAGAAAGCCACAGCUAACUACGUG
rnacentral:rRNA from 1 species